UACGUAGGGCGCAAGCGUUAUCCGGAAUUAUUGGGCGUAAAGAGCUCGUAGGCGGUUUGUCGCGUCUGCCGUGAAAGUCCGGGGCUCAACUCCGGAUCUGCGGUGGGUACGGGCAGACUAGAGUGAUGUAGGGGAGACUGGAAUUCCUGGUGUAGCGGUGAAAUGCGCAGAUAUCAGGAGGAACACCGAUGGCGAAGGCAGGUCUCUGGGCAUUAACUGACGCUGAGGAGCGAAAAGCAUGGGGAGCGAACAGG
rnacentral:rRNA from 1 species